rnacentral:misc_RNA from 1 species
CUUGUUUUAUUUUUAGGCAACAUUCCUCCCGCCCGAGUACGGGAUCGUAACUGAAUAUCGCGAGAACUGACAUCAGUGGCACGUGCGGAUGCAGAACACACCGUCUGGUGCCAGCGUCCGACGGACAUGCACCUGUCCUUUGUCCCUUCAUAACAUCUGUGAUCUGAUUAACACCGCUGGGACAAAGACAUACAGCUGUGUCAUACUCAAGCCUAACUGUUAGGACGGCUGACUUUGUUUACGUGCACGACUUCACGGUUGCCUGAACCCCUACCCGCAUUGCUUCAACUAACCACCUUAUGCAGAACAGAAUCAUUCGAACCGCAACGCUGACAAUACCCUUUAUUCGCACUGAAAUGCCUUUCCUAUGAUGUAAGAGGUCGGUAUUAUUUCAAGGUUUGGGCACUGGAAAGAGGACCCUAGUUUAAGGUACGGACACAGGUUUUACUACAAGACACAAACCAGAGCCACCAUGACUUGGCCUGAGUUCAUCAAGCACAUGCUGGCGACCACCCACAAGAUACAGAAAGUAGCAGUGUUGGCUGAGGAUGGUCAGCCUCUAGCUGUGACGGAGGACCUUCAGGUGUCCGUGGAGGAGGGCCAGGCUCUGAUCAGGAGCAUCUUGGACCCUGCACGGACGGUCACAAAGAUCCACAUGGAUAACAACUUCUAUACGUGUUUCCAGGGCAACUCCAGGACGUUGGUUGGGACGUCGCCUAACAGAGACAGAAUAUUCGUCGCCCAUAAAUAUAAAGACUGCGUUGUGGUUGUGUUCGGCGGGACGAAGGGACAUGGGUCGUAUCUCUUUGAGUUGAAGAAGAAUCUUUGGGCGAGAGAACAUCAUCAGCAGCAGAUGACAAAUUUACCUAAUGAAGGGCAGAUCACUGAUGUACCCAGUCAAGAACAGAUAACCAAUAUACCCGGGCAAGGGCAGAUAACCAAUGUACCCAGCCAAGGGCAGAUUCAGCAGAUCUUGAAUGCAGCUGAGGACGAAAGGUUAGCUUCUCAAGAAGCAGACGACAUCGAACAACUCUCCCAGAUGGACCAGGAACCGAUGGACAUUGAUGACUUUCCACAAGGACAAGACAGAAUAGGUGAUGAUCUAAACCUACUCCAACUACAUGAUUGACUGUUGGGUUUGUUUAGAAUUGGCGAUCUUCUUGUGUUCAAGUACAUGCAAUAUUUAUAUGAAGCAUUUAGCAUAUUAUCUUGUAAGGAAUGAAACUCUGGAGGCAGCUGGUGUCCUCGUUGUUACAUAUGCAACAAAUAACCCGAAAUACUCAUUUUAGAUAUUUUACCUACAGGACCUCGUUUCACAAUAAUCCUGUUGUGUGUUUCAUGGUUACACAAUGGGCUAUUCUACCAUUGUUUUCUGAAGCCAGUGCAAUCACAGAACCAUUUAUGUAAAGAUGAUUUAUUGUUCAGAAUAACACUAUUCAACCUUAUAUUUUCCCCCCGUUUACUCAACUUAAUAUAUAUGAGCAUGUGUCCUAUCCUUUCCCAAACAAUCCCAUGGUGUCAUUGUACAAAACAAAUUCUAUCGCUACGACUGUCGUAACUUUAUUUUAAGGUAUGGGAGUUACGGUCACCUUAGCGCUAAGAUCGCUUUGUGUAGCAACACCAUGAUAUCAUUGUACAACACAACCUUAGCGCGACAACUGUCGUAAGUCUAUGUUAAGGUAUGGGAGUUACGGUCACUUUAGCGAUAAGAUCGCUUUGUGCAGCAACACCAUGAUAUCAUUGUACAACACAACCUUAGCGCGACAACUGUCGUAAGUCUGUGUUAAGGUAUGGGAAGUUAUGAUACUUGAUAAUACACCCUGAAUGUGUAUAGUACUAUACCCGCCUAGAAAAGUAGUCGUGGCCUGCUCAACAGUGUAAACUUCAUAAACACUAUAAUUUCGUAAGGAAUGUGGAGUUCAUACUCUGGGCUGUUCCAGGGUAAUUCAUUCCGCACUAGUUAGUGUCAGGACAAACACAAAUGGUGCAGCCAUGCACUGAAUAGAGUUUGUCAUAUGACGAAAGCGAAAGGUUCAGAUUCGACAACUUACAUUUGCUCUGCCACACAUUGGGCAACCAUGCGCGCAAAGUGGGAUAUUAUAGGUCAUUUCAGGUUUACUUCAUUGAAAGAACCUGUUUUGACUGACACUAUAUUUGAGGUUGAAUCGUUUUCAUUACUGAAUAUACCUAUGCGUGUCUUGCAGGGUGAGGAAGUAUUUUCGACCCCUGAGGAACAUACCUCGGCCUUUGUCCCAAAGUGACACUGUUCAAGAAUCUUGCCUUUAAACAGUGGACGUAGCAGGAACGUCUCCACACCUCUUGACGAGAGCGUAUUACAAUACAAGCGGGACAUGUUGAUAUCCCUACUGAAUAAUCUAUUGACAGUGUUUGGUGCUAUAACAAAUGUAUUGUAUACAGACACAUCUGCUUUUCUCUGAUCUAAUGGCAGUUUUGUAGUUUAUGGCGUACCGUGUGUUCAACAAUACAUGUAUUAUAAAUAAUUAUAUUAUGGCAAUUUUAAAUGAGUAUAUGGGUUAUUGUGUCAUUGGAUUGUCUGGUCCACUGAAACUGGAUUGUUUGGUCAAGACUCGAUGUUUCAUAGGCCGGGGUCAUGUGACUGCAUUGCCGCUGUGCGGAGAUAUGCAACGAUAAAAAACUUGCCUUUUUCAUGCAAACUGUCUGAAUGGUGGGUGCUACUGGUAAGGUAAGAAAAGCUUACCCUUUUGCUGACUGCUUCCCGGUGAUUCGUCCAUAUAACGUUCUACGCUUCUUUGCAUUUAUAGCCCAGUGGAAUCAAUUUAUAUAAUGACUUUAAUUUAGUUUUAUGCGCUUUUAGCAAUAUUCCAGCAAUAUCACGGUGGACACCAAAAAUGGGAUUCAGUAGGGAAUCGAACCCGGGUCUUCGGCGUGAAGGCGGACGCUUUAAUCACUAGUCUACCCCACCGACACUUUUAUAUAAUGAAGACUGAUUAAUCUACAACGUUUUUUAAAUACUUAAAUACCACUACAUUUAACCAUGAUUUCAGUUCGAACAUUCAUUUCUGUGACGAAAUGAAGUAGUUAGCGUAUAAUACUUAAACUCACAUGAAUGCGCGUGCGCGCACUCACACACACACACACACAUUUAUACAUGGCUAUUCAUACUACGUAAUUUAUAACGCAUAUCUUAAAAUUCGGAUUAUAAAUCACCUGACUGCUUUCAGCUGCUCUCCUGUCUUUCCUUUUAGCUUCUGCUUGUAAUUUCAGGCAAAGCAUAUAUUUUGACUAAAUAUUUAUAUAUUUUUCAAAGGUUUGUCUUUUUUAAUAUACACUGUAUAUUAUCUUAUCCUGUAUCUCUUAUUAUUUUUUAUUGUUUAUACAAUAAACCGCUUUAAUCAACUAAUACUCAUCUGUUUCGGUGAACUAAGUAGUUUGGCAUUACUCUAUUUGAUAUAUUAUUCCCAUGGGAUUAUUGUAACACAUACUUUAACAUGAAUGAUACCACUGAACUAAACGUAUAGUUGUUGAUGAUGGUGUUUGGGAUUUUACGAGCGCUUCCAGAACUCCUCAGUUUGCACAUUUUUAAAUGAAGCAUCUUUCCGAGCAUAUCAAAGAUCCGAGAAUCAUCACCUUUUUUUUACUGACCCUGCCUGCAAUGUGUCAGUUCAGUAUUUUUCGUACCGUGGGUUACCCUUAGUGGCCUCCAGUUGUCAUUGGAGGUGGGUCAGCCACUGGCCGUCACGCAGGGCCUUCAGUUGUCAGUGGAUGUCGGUGAGGUACUGGCUAUGACGGGACCUCCACUUGUCAAUGGAGGUGGGUCAGAUACCAGCCGUUGACGGGUGACCAUCAGUUGUCCGAAAACUCCGUUCUCGAAGAGUUACUCUGAAACAUUGCAAAUACAGCUUCGAUAUCUGUAUCAAAUAUAUUACCAUCUUGUUUGUUUCAGUUUUAGUCAUCAUCGGGCAUUGGGGUAUAUCUAUUCAUAUUAGUAUGUUAAUUAUAAACUGAGGAAAAAAAAUAAGGGAUCGCAUGAACACACGAGUGUUCCUUUAUUUUUUUCCCUGGUUUCUUCACAAAAUUUGUAUCGCAAAACUUGUGAAGGAACCUGGACAAAAGUAAAAGAACACUUGUGAUUUCAUGCGAUCCCUUAUUUUUUCCCGUCAGUAUAUAUCUGAUGUAUCAUUGAGUGAUAAAUGUUGUCCUUAUGAAUGAUAAACACACACACACAAACAAGCACACAUAAUUCUUAUAAGGGUUGGGCAUUACAUUACUAAGCGACUCUGUGUACUGACAUAUUAAACUGCACCAUCUGGAGUCACAAGGUUACAGAGCCACUGUAUAGAGCUGCAUCUUUCUGUACUUAUACCCUGUAAGUCCUGUGUGCAUUCCUCUCAUAUACUGUUACCAUGUAUAAUGCUGUCGGUAAUAAAUGACAUCUAUCUCGGUGUUCA